GCAGUGCGUGGCCGAAUGGUUACGCUGUCCGCUUUGUAAGCGGAUGAUUCUGGGAUGGAUUCCCAUCUGUUGCA
rnacentral:tRNA from 1 species